GGUUCUCCACGUCCCCACCAGACUCAGGAGCCCAGCUGGCUUCACCCAGUGGAUCCCGCACCGGGGCUGCAGGUGGAGCUGCCUGCCAGUCUCCCGCCGUGCGCCCGCACUCCUCAGCCUUUGGGUGGUCGAUGGGACUGGGCGCCGGCGGAGCAGGGGGCGGGGCUCAUCCGAGAGGUUCCGGUCGCACAGGAGCCCACGAUGGAGGUGGGAGGCUCAGGCAUGGCGGGCUGCAGGUCCCGAGCCCUGCCCCGCGGGAAGGCAGCUAAGGCCCGGCGAGAAAUCGAGCGCAGCGCCGGUGGGCUGGCACUGCUGGGGGACCCAGUACACCCUCCGCAGCCGCUGGCCCGGGUGCUAAGCCCCUCAUUGCAUGGGGUCGGCAGGGCCGGCCGGCUGCUCCGAGUGCGGGGCCCGCCAAGCCCACGCCCACCCGGAACUCCAGCUGGCCCGCAAGCGCCGCGCGCAGCCACGAUUCCAGCUCGCGCCUCUCCCUCCACACCUGCAUGCAAGCUGAGGGAGCUGGCUCCGGCCUUGGCCAGCCCAGAAAGGGGCUCCCACAGUGCAGCGGUGGGCUGAAGGCCUCCUCAAGUGCCGCCAAAGUGGGAGCCCAGGCAGAGGAGGCGCCGAGAGAGAGCGAGGGCUGUGAGGACUGCCAGCAGGCUGUCACCUCUCACUUCUGGGCUACAAACAUGGACAGCAUGUACUGAGGACUGGAGGCAACUGUAAUGCAACGAUUUUUCAUGCCAAAUGAUGUGGGAUCUGGAAAGAUGGGCGAAUAGGAAUAGCUCUGGUCUACAGCUCCCAGCAAAACCAACACAGAAGUUACUGCUGAAAGCAUCCUGAGUGACACAAACUUGAAGCAUGCAAGAGGACUAAAUAACUUCCAAAGUCACACAUAUUGCAUGUCAAGAGCCAGCUUCAAACUCAAGUCCCUGUGACCAGAGGUCGAUGCUCUAAACACAUUUCUGCAUGACCUGCUUGUGGCAGCCUGGAGAAAUUCUACAUAAAUCUUCUCAGAUUCCAGAGGCUGCGAGGUCUGAGAUCAAGGAUCUGACACCUGGUGAGGGCCUUUUUGCUGCAUCAUUUCACAUAGAGACAAAAAGAUUCUCACCUGUAAGCUUGAAUUAUGUCUACAUCAUGCUUGGGAAAUGUCCAUAUAUUCUAAGCUUGAAACUGCAGUGAUGAGGACGUCACCACUUCCAGAGAGAACACUUUACUACCAGGCAACUUGAGUACAAUAGGCAGCCACAAAUAUCAUCCUUGCUAGCCAGGAAUGACAAGGAGCAAGCCACAUGAGGAGUCAGAAAAGAUUAUUCCAGGCAGGGCUGAGAUCUGCAUUAUGGUCUGGAGGCUGCCCCAGUCUCUCCUUUACCUCCAUAUUUUUCUCACAGGUAAUUUCUUAUCUUGCAUAUAUAAUUCUAUCUUACAUCUAUUGCUUAUAGGACCAGAAUUAACGUAUUUGGGCUUGAACUUCCUCAUCUGUGAAAUGUGACUAUAAUUAUAACAGCUAAAUUCUCAAGAUUAACCUCUUAGCUUUCAGGACUGCUUAUGUUUCAUAAAUGUAGUUAUUUUGAGAAUAUUUAUGUAUAAUAUUUAUAACAGGAAAGAAAAGUAAGUAAACAAGUUUGUGCCAAAACUCUACAUCAAUUCAAUAGCUUUGUGAAUAGAGUGAUUAGAAAAACACAAUUAGACUAUUGAAAGUUGAGAAAAAUUAUCUAAAAUUGUGGUACCUAAACCAUACUAGGAAGGAAGCAUCAUUGUCUACAAGUUAGUAAUUAUGGGUAAAUCACUCAGAAAAGUGUCUAGCAUAAAAACAACUUAAUAAAUGUUCACUAUUAUUAUUUUGUUUCACUUGUUACCACUUCUGUAAGCUGACCUUCAAAUGGGUAAAGUUAGCAGCCAUGACAUGAACAAUAUCUAAACAAGUUGGCAUGGGCUAUAUUCCAAAAAAGUCUUAUUUAUGGUCACAGAAAUUUUAAUUUUAUAUAAUUUUAACACAUCACAAAGUAUUCCUAUUCUUGUAAUUUUUUCUCAUUGUUUAAAAAUGUUAGCAAAUGCAGGUCAACAAAAGAUAUUGCCAAACCAUACUAUGUUAUACCUGGAUUGAAACUCAGGGAUGGGUAUAGGUGAAAAAAAAAAAAUAAGUGUGGGUUAGGGGAAAAGGAAAAGAAUAGAGUAAGACAGAGAGAGAGAGAGCUAUAAAGACUUUCAUCUUUAGCUUUGCACCUUGUGGAAUAGUGGUCUUGGUCCAUUUGUGUUGCUACAAAGGAAUACCUGAGAUUGAUUAAUUUAUAAAGGAAAAGUUGUAUUUGUCUCAUGAUUCUGCUGGCUGAAAAUCUGGCAUCUGGUGAAAACCUGAGGCUGCUUUCACUCAUGUAAGAAGGUGAAAGUGAAGGGGAGCCAGUGCAGGGAGAGAUCACUUGGUGAGAGAGAAAACAAGAGAGAGGGAAGGAGGCACCAGGCUCUUUUUAACAACCAGCUCUUGUGGGAACUAAUAAGAAUGGGAACUCACUCAUCCUCCCUCAGGAGGGCAUUCAUCUAUUCAUGAGGGGUCCACAUCAUGAUCCCAUUAGGCCAUGUCUUCAACACUGGAGAUCAGAUUUCAACGUGAGAUUUGGAGGGGCCAGAUAUCCAUACUGUAGCAUGGUCCAAGCCAAAUAGAUCUAAAGACAAGGUAAGGUAACAUAACUCUAGCUAAUAUUUUGGACACAUGGACACACAAGAAGAAUUGAUCCUUUAAUUCUGUUACUAACUUGAGGUAGUCUAGAUCAAGGAUCAGCAAACUACAGACAAUGGACAAAAUCCAGCCUACCACCUGCUUUUGUAUGUUCUGCAAGCUAAGAAUGUUUUUAUAUCUUAAAAUUGUUGAAUAAUAUUUUGUGACAUGUGAAAAUUAAAUGAAAUUCAAAUUUCCAUGAUUAUACAUAAAGUUUUACUGGAACACAGCCACGCCAAUUUGCAGACAUGUUGCUUUUGGCUGCUUUCUGGCUACAAGACAGUCAAGUAGUUGUAACAGAGACCACAUUGCCAAAAAAACCUAAAAUAUUUACAAUGAGGCCUUCUACAGAAAAUGUUUUGCAUCUCCUGGUUAAUAUCCAUACUCCAAUAUCACAUUUUGGGGGAUCCACAUUCUGGUUUGUAAUUUUCAAAAACUUUGGACACAAGUGACCCAUUUCUAAUGUUCAAGGAGAGGCUUUGAUGGGAAGUGCUGACCCUCCUUUCUGAAGAGUGAUAUUAAUAAAAUUGUUUCAGUCAGCCAGUCUAGGAACAGGCAAUCUCCUGUCUGCCACAUGUGCCAAGUUAAUAAGCCUCCAAGAAGGUUACAUUGCAGGUCUUGCUUUGUGCCUGGAACAUCUUGGUAAUUAUCAAACAGCUUCAUUAAACACACUGGUUCCCUAUACUGUACUUCAGGCUUUGUUUUAGUUAUAUUUUUCCAUUCUCUAAAUAGAUCUGUGUAUUCAUUGCUUUGUCUUAUUAUGUUGAAUGUUACACUGAACUGUACCUAGACACUAACAGCUGAACAGCAGAAUGGGACAAGCAGAUUUAAAAAAUAUAUAUAUCCAACAAAUUUUUUUCUAAGGUACUGUGGAAUCUGCAUUCAACUCAUUGAUAUAUCCUGAAGUAGGCUUUCUAUUGGCUUAUUUCUAAGAAUGUGUUGUCUUUCCUGAUUUCAGCAUUCAAUUAUUUUCUCUUUUUUUUCUUUUGAACUUUUUGGUGAUUUUUUGGGUAAGUCCCUUUCUUGUUCUUUAUAAAAGAGAAAAAAUAGAACAUUGAAGAAAAAGAACAGAAUUUUAACUAACACUUCUUAUGCUUAAACUAAGUAAGGUGAAAGAAAGGAAGCUUGGAAUAAUCCAAUUUUCUCUUAUAACUGGUAUGGGCACUCACCCUUACAGUUAUUUAAGCUUAAAUGCAAGUGUUUAUAUUUUGCUUGUUUUAGUUUACAUCUUAUCAUUUAUAGGAGGCUGUGUAAUGCACCCUAAGUAAAGACAUCAUUUGCAUAGCUCACAGUCAAAUGGAGACUCAGUGAGUAUUAUGAAAUAUCAAAUUAGAGAAAUCAUGUAAAAAUAACUUCCCUCUGCCUCAAUCUCAGCUGCAUUUCAUCUUGCCCUACAUUUUUGUGGACCUGUAUAUGCAGAUAAAUGUAUGACUUCACAAGUUUGCUUGAAGUGUAUGAGAAAGACAAAGCUUUACACUUAUGGAGCUAACAAGAUCCUGAAACACUUUGACAUCAGUUGCUUUGGCAACUUUAGGCUGAAUCAAUUCAUUACACCCUGAUAUUAGUUGACAUCCUGUGUGGAUAUUUUAUGGGAGGGGGAUGGUCCACAAACUGACAUAGUCCUGACCCAGAAAAUUCUCUGGGAACAAGAAUUCCACUUGGAUCCAUCCAUUGCUAUUUUUCUCAGCCUCAGGAGUGAAUGUGUUGACAUGUACAUGCUUGUUCACCCUGCCAGCAUUUACUAAGCACCAGCUAUAAGUUAAGAUCACAGACAUAAAGAUGAAUUAAGACAUCUUUAAUUUUCCCAUGGUGUUUCAUGUCUAGUACAGAGAUGACUUAUAAGUCCUGCUACAAGGGGAUAUUACACAGGCUCUGAAAGAUCUGCAUACAAGUUUUGCCCACAUACAUAUGAAGAAAGAAAGACUUCUUAGAGAAGAGAAUACUCAUGCUUAGAACCUAGAGAUGUGUGGGAGUAACCAGGAGAACAAGGACAUAUCAUUCCAGAGAGAUGGGGAUGGAUGGUAGCUGGUCGCUGAAGAUCUUUCCCCUGCCUUCCCCACAUCCAUAGUCAUACCUCACAGUAUUCCUGUCCUUGUGUAAUCCCCAACCAUUGGGUCUGGACUUGCUCUUGGAUUUACUCUUGGUUAAUAGAAUGUGGCAGAAUUGUUGCUGUGUGACUUCUGAGGCUUGAUCCUAAGAAAUCUAUGGCUUUCUUCUGGGCCUCUUUGAACUCUUGGCUUUUAGAUGUUCCCUCUUGAAAGCCACCUCAGAAUUGCACCUACCUGAGCCCCUCAUGUUGUGAGAAUCCUGAGCCAUUGGGAAGACUCUGGAGAGUGAGACAUCACACUGAGUAGGAGAGGCCAAGAGCCUCAGUGUGAGGCCCCAGGUGUGCAUGAAGAAGCUGUCUUGAAAGUAUGUCUUCCAGCUCCUUCCACCUUAGCUGAAGCAUGGAAUUGGGCCCUUCCUAAAUUAAUAAUCCUCAAAAAUAUGAGCAAAAUAAAUGAUUAUUAAAAGCCCCAAUGUUUUGAGGGUGGUUUCACAUAGCAAUGAACAACCAAAAUAGAGGGUAUAUGUGCAAAAGUGUUGAGUAUGCAGGGUGUAUGUUUCAAAAAAAUUAUGACCUGGAAGUAGCAGGUAGUUCAAUAGAUUUUCAUGGUCGGAGAAAGAAUGCUAGCCGGAAUAUACUGGUAUUGGAACAUUUACAGCUACAAGUGUGGAAACACUAGCUCGAUCUGAGUUCAGAGGUAAAGCUGACUCCAAUCAUGAAUGAGACAAAUUAUUCAAAUGAGGUCAUGAAGUCUUUUUCUGAUUCCUUUUCUACCUCCUCCUCCUCCUGCUGCUGUUGUUGUUGUUCUUCUUCUUCUUCUUCUUUUUCUUCUUCUUCUUCCUCUUCUUCUUCUUCUUCUUCUUCUUCUUCUUCUUCUUCUUCUUCUUCUUCUUCUUCUUCUUCCUCUUCCUCUUCCUCUUCUUCUUCUUCUUCUUCUUCUUCUUCUUCUUCUUUUCUCUCUCUGUCUCUCUCUCUCUCUGUCUCUCUCUCUUUCUCUCUCUUUCUCUCUCUUUCUCCUGAUCAUUCUUUUCUACAUACUGGAGAAGAUGACAAUAAGUAGCUUCAAAAUUACACUUUUUUAGCUUUAUAAUCUUUUUAAUUCUAGUUCCAAACUGAGUAACCCAACAGUAGGUCUCGCUGACUGGAUAUGGUUCAUGUGCCCAGCCCUGGAUCAAACACUCUGGUUAGUAAAACGAGCUGUUGCAAUUCACUAGGUUAAAGUCAACUUUUCUCCCCAGAAGUGGUGGAUGCUGUGGGUAGCAUUUCCACACAAAUCAAAUUAAUAAAGCAAGGAAGAAGCCAUUUCCCCAGGGAACAGAGGAUGUUAGACAAUAGCUGUUCACUGCAGGGAAAAUAGCAGGAAGUAAAUAUAUUUUAGUAGAUGUUUUUUGUGGACAGUGUUAUAUUUGAGGUGCGGGUAAAGCCAGAAUUUUUCCAAAGACUGAUGUAUAUUGUUGUAUAGCCACUUUAGUAUGUCAUUGAUUAGAUGUUCUUUCUUGGUUAUAUAGCCUGCCAAAGCCAUGUGCAUUGUUUUAUUUAAUUAUUUGGCCUUACUUUGUUAUACUAAAAAAAAGUUACAAUGUUUUUCUCUUAGGAGGAAAAUAUUGAUACAUUAUAAACAUUGCAUUUGCUUCCAAUUGUACAGAUGAUUUUGCAUCAAUAAAACCAUAUUCUCUCAUAUGGCCUAUUUGCUACUCAGUGACACAUUGUUUCAAGAUGCUGAGUAAAGGAGGUUCAUCUAUAGCUAUAGUAUCUUCCUGCCUUCAUUCACUCAUUCACUAAAUAUUUAAUAAAAUCUUUUUUUCCUGGACUACAUAGAUGAAAUAAAGAAAGAAAGUAAAGAAGGAAAGAGGUAAUUGGCUUUGAGUUUUCCAGUAGCCAUAAAAAAUGAAGAUGAAUGCAGAAAGAUGAUCAGUUCUAUCUGCUUUGAUUUUCCAUGAAAGAAAACAUAAAAUUGAAGCUUCUUUAGCAAUUAACUAAAAAAAAGACUUUUCUCAUACAAAGGUUCAUAUAGAAGACACACUUAAAAGAGAGGUAAAUAAUUAUGUUUUUAAUUACAUCUUUCCUAUAGAAAAAAAUCUAGAAGUUUUCUGAAACAAAUAAGAAACAACUGCUACACUCAAUCACUUACCCAAUAGUAUAUGAAAGAAGUAUAAUCAUGAAUAAUGGUGAUGUUUCGGAUGUGGUUGUUCUGUAGUGGAUAUACCCAGGGUGUUAUCAAAACAAAGUGGGUGUUUUGCUAACAAAUCUGGGUCUCAAUGGCUUUAUUCUCCUCAGGGGCCUAUACAUAUUAUGGAAGUUUGGCCACUCUGUUGUCAGAUACACUGGAAGCAACUCAAGAGCAGAUAUGGACUGGGAAGUCCAUCAAGGCUGUUAGACAUCCAUUCAUUGACUGUAGAUAGAGCAGCAGGGGCAGCAGAAAGUCUUGUGGGAACAGAAGAUGUGGGUGCCUAAGUUAGGAUGCCUUCUUAAAAGCUGAUUUCUUCCCAGCUGCCUUGGCCUGGCUUUUAAAACACAAAUUAAGGGAAGUGAGAUAAAAUGUUAUUUCAAGGAUUUCCUCCAGUCAAGAGGAAAUUGACAUUUUUUUCCAUGUUAAUUUGUUAGUCUCAUUGACAGCUAUCAGAAAUAUUAUUCAGUGUCACUACACUGUAUCUAGUAGGGUUAGGAAAAAAAAAACAAAAGGAAUAUGAAUCAUUCUUGACAGUAAUAAAGAGCUAAUUAAGAUGUGAGGCCAGGUGCGGUGGCUUAGGCCUGUAAUCCCAGCACUUUCGGAGGCCGAGCCGGGCAGAUCACCUGAGGUCAGGAGUUCGAGACCAGCGUGGCCAACAUGGUGAAACCCCAUCUCUACUAAAAAUACGAAAAUUAGCCGGGCGUGGUGGCAGGCACCUGUAAUCCCAGCUACUCGGGAGGCUGAGGCAGGAGAAUCGCUGGAACCGGGGAGGCAGAGGAUGCAGGGAGCGGAGAUCGUGCCAUUGCCCUCCAGCCUGGGUGACAGAGUGAGACUCUGUCUCAAAAAAAAAGAAAAAAGAAAGAAAAUGUGCACAUGCACAAGGAGAAGUAUCAAGUAUCAGGUAGUAGUUAGGAGAACAGAACCUGAGGGCAGACAAACUGGAUGGGUGUGAAUCCUGACACCACUAUUUACUAAUUCUUUCAUCUUGAAAAAGUUACUGAAUUUCUCUGUGCCUCUGUGUCCUCAUUUGUAAAAUACAGAUAAUUUUACGUACUUCAUGAAAAUGUUGAAAAGAUUUAAAGAAUUCACAUAAAGUACGCGGAACAGCAACCGGCACGCAGGUCAAAAAAUACAUAUGUUAAUUUCCAUUUUUUUUUUUGUUUAUGUAGCUUAUUAACAACAGCAGUAUUUUAGGUAACUUCUCUUCUGAUACCGAUUAUCUCUAUUUUCUGACUAUCACUAUUCUCCCUCUUUCUUCCUCUAUCUAAACUACCAAUCUGCUUAUCUUUACACAUCAAUAUAUAAGCUCCCAAAUCUCAUAGGUUUGAAAACUUAGGCACAAAGAACUUUCAGCAUCUCUGCCAGCAAUUAUUUCAAAUUGUUCAGAAUAAUAUCAAUUAAACUUAUGAUGUGGUUAAUUUCACUAACUGAGACUAAAGACACAGGCUAAAUGUGUCAUGAGAUAUAUUUUUCUUUAAAAUCAGUGUUUC